UACGAAGGGGGCUAGCGUUGCUCGGAAUCACUGGGCGUAAAGGGCGCGUAGGCGGCCCGUCAAGUCCCGUGUGAAAGCCCCCGGCUCAACCGGGGAACUGCACGGGAAACUAGCAGGCUUGAGUUCGGGAGAGGGAAGCGGAAUUUCGGGUGUAGCGGUGAAAUGCGCAGAUAUCCGAAGGAACACCGGUGGCGAAGGCGGCUUCCUGGACCGACACUGACGCUGAGGCGCGAAAGCUAGGGGAGCAAACGGG
rnacentral:rRNA from 1 species